UACAUGGGGUGCAAACGUUGCUCGGAAUUAUUGGGCGUAAAGCGCACGUAGGCGGUUCGUUAAGUCGGAUGUGAAAGCCCUCGGCUCAACUGAGGAAGUGCACCCGAAACUGGCGAGCUUGAGUACGAAAGAGGAUCGCGGAAUUCCCGGUGUAGAGGUGAAAUUCGUAGAUAUCGGGAGGAACACCGGUGGCGAAGGCGGCGAUCUGGGUCGAUACUGACGCUGAGGUGCGAAAGCGUGGGUAGCAAACAGG
rnacentral:rRNA from 1 species